rnacentral:rRNA from 1 species
AGAGUUUGAUCCUGGCUCAGAGUGAACGCUGGCGGUAGGCCUAACACAUGCAAGUCGAACGGCAGCACAGUAAGAGCUUGCUCUUACGGGUGGCGAGUGGCGGACGGGUGAGGAAUACAUCGGAAUCUACUCUGUCUGGGGGAUAACGUAGGGAAACUUACGCUAAUACCGCAUACGACCUACGGGUGAAAGCAGGGGACCUUCGGGCCUUGCGCGAUUGAAUGAGCCGAUGUCGGAUUAGCUAGUUGGCGGGGUAAAGGCCCACCAAGGCGACGAUCCGUAGCUGGUCUGAGAGGAUGAUCAGCCACACUGGAACUGAGACACGGUCCAGACUCCUACGGGAGGCAGCAGUGGGGAAUAUUGGACAAUGGGCGCAAGCCUGAUCCAGCCAUACCGCGUGGGUGAAGAAGGCCUUCGGGUUGUAAAGCCCUUUUGUUGGGAAAGAAAUCCAGCUGGUUAAUACCCGGUUGGGAUGACGGUACCCAAAGAAUAAGCACCGGCUAACUUCGUG